AUCCUCCGACAGCACUUACAGAAUCACACCUCCAUGUCCCCGCAACAUGUCGUCUACACGCUGACACCCACAGACUUCUGCUGGCGUAACGUGGUGAAAACAGACAGGAGGAAAAGUGCAGAAAAAAAAGUGAAGAUAAAGGACAAAAUUCCAUCAGGACAUAUCACAGGAUGAAGUCCAGAUGGCUGCUCUCCGCUGUGGACAGACUUCCUACCAUCAGUGAAAUGCAGGAGAGCGACACAGAAGACGGAGACCCGGACUGCUCCUCUCACACCAUGGAGGAGUACGUGGACUCCAUCAAAGAGCUGUCCCAGCCGGCCCCCUACCCGCUCCACGGGCCCCUCAGAGGUCACCGCCUCUGGAUGGUGCGCUCAUGCCCUGCGGCUCCACCUGUGGCACCGGCUCUGUUUUUAAAUUCCCUGAGAAGCAGCCCACCUUGGAGUCCAGUUGACCUAUCAGAUGUAUCACUGACCUUAACAGACCAAUCAAAGUGCGAGACAUCAACACAUUUCAAACAAAACCUGCUGGACGUGCUGGUGGGACAGUCCCUGUUUGCAGGGCUGGUGUGAGGUGAAGGUAGCGGCCGGACUGCUGACCUCCGCCCACGGCUCCCGUCGGCUCCACGAUGCAUGAUUCAUUUAUGUGUAAGAAGUAAUUGAGUCAGGCACGCUCCAGAAGCUAUAUGCAUUCCCUUUGAAGUUCUAAAUGAAUGCAACACAUGAAACAAAAGAUGAAAAGCGAAAAAUCAAGGGCAGAACAAACAAACGAGCAGUGCCUGCCUGGAUGCCCGAGGUAUAAGUGCGAUAAGUGGCUGUGCUGGGCCCACUCGUCCACCAGGGGGCCCUCCAACAGACCCAAACUGUGAACUCUCCUGAUUUGAAUAUUUAAAGACAUACUCUCUGAUUUUUGCCACCAGAAUCUUCUGAGGACCCCAAACUAAGGAUGAUUCAAGAAAGCAAUACAAACUAGGUAGAUUCAUUGGCUCCCACACCCCAGGAGCUCGUUGAGAUGAACUACAAAUAUUAAAUCUCCUCAGACUGUAGCUCUAAAUUAAAUAUCCAAGAAUUUGCCUUCAGACCCUUUAAAGGGCCCAGAAUUAGGUAAGCUUUAACUGCCUAGAAAAUGAAUACAAAAGGCUGCUUCAGCCAACGGGGGGCCUUUGAACAGCUUUGGGGUUUUAGGCUCUGGUUUAAAUAUUUAAGUACAUGCUCCCUGAUUUUUGCUUUCAGGAUUCUACUGGAGCCCUGAAGUAAGUUUGAUUUGAGAUAAAACCCACAAUUUAGCUGAUACAGAGCCCCAUCAGCCACCAGGGACCCCACCCAAAUUAGCUGCAAGUGUGAAAUCUCUUUAUAUUUUAGUUCCAGUUUACCUUUCAGAUGUUUUGAACUGCCUACAAACUCAAAGUAAGCUGCUGGUUCAACCAACAGGGGGCCUUUGAACAACUGUUGGGGUUUAAGUUGUGACUUAAAAAUUUAAAGAUAGACUCCCUCAUAGGCUCUAGUCUAUCCCAGCUGGCACCAUAAAUAUGAACUCUGUGUAGAGUCUGUUGGACAUUUGAAGAAAUUUGGAUGUUCGGUCUUAAUCUAAAGAUCUUAAUAUCUUUUGGUUCUAAGUUCUAUGCUUCUUGAUAUCCACCAGAUCUAGGGUUAGGGUUUUAGUCAACUCUUUUUAGACACACAUAGCUUUUUUGGAAAACCAAAAACCUUUCAUCUUGUUGUUCCUUUUUUAAAAAUUGGUCUUAGGCUGGUGACCUGGGAGGUGUUAGGAUGAAAUCAUCAUGUUUUUUUUUAGGGAUUUUCAUUCAAAUAUGUAAACUUCUACUGCAAGACAUUUGAUUUCAAAUUCUCCUUCGAUACAGACGCAGAGAUGUGUUAGUAAAUGAUGAGAUGUGUUUCUCUUUUUCAUCACCACCAGGUAAAUAAGGAAUAUGGAGGUCUCUUCCUGUUGAAAAGGAGAUCUUCCUUACCACUGUCUCCAAAUGCUUCUCGUAGGUUAUUGUCUCUCAAACAAUCUAAUCUAUAAAGCAUCUUGAGGUUACUCUCAUCAGUCGUGACUCGUGAGCUUUAUAAAUAAAAUGAACUGAACCCCCCUUUGACCUUAAAAUGUACUGCUAAGCCUAAAGCUUCGUAUUCUUUUUAACCUCACAGAUUUGUAAUAUUGGAUAAUUUCUCUCCACAAAUAAAUCAGUUUCUUAACCACUUAUUCAGUUCAUAGUCUGCAGCCAUUCCCAGCUGCCCGAGGGUGGACAUCAUAAACCUCACCUGUCUAUCACAAGGCUAAGUAAUUGAAGUCAAUAAAUCUGCAUUUUUUUCCAUUGCAUUUUCCAGGAAUUCCAGCUCCCUAUGGCUUCCUGGCCACCUGGGCUCUCUGAAAGUAAUUCUCCUUUAUUUCUGAGUUUUAAAUAUUCACUUUUCUAAUUGUAUUUUAUUUGUUUUAAUUAAGUUUAAAACUGAAACACGUUUGUGCUAAGGGUAAAGAAGCACUCAGUCUGUGCAGGUUUAUGCAGUGCAGCCUGCAAAGUUUUGCUGACAUUGGUUUGCUUUUUUUCCCAUUUGAAAUAAAACCAGUUGUAAGAAAAACAUAAAA